UAUCAUGGUGUACAUAAUAAAUCCUACUACUGAAGCAUGUGAAAUUCUAUUUAUAUGCUCUCUCUCUUGAGUUGUCGAACAAUCUUUUCGAGAGAAAAUUUUCAUGGUCUAUCGAAAGGUAGCCUUUCUUGAAAUUCUUUAUGUUGAACAACUUCAGUACAGAUCUAUGUAUGUGGACUAGGACAAUCUAAGCAACCUCUUCAAUCUAUCUCUAUAGAUCCUCA
rnacentral:lncRNA from 1 species